rnacentral:piRNA from 1 species
UGCCAUGAUGAUAGUGGACUGAACCACUGAA